GGAUUACUGUGAAGAGUGGAUAAUGUCAUUGAUGUUUGUUGCAGAGUAUUGUGUGAUGUUUCUGCUGUGGGAGUGAGAUGUGGCCUGUGGACAUUUUAGAAGUUUCAGUCAAAAACUGUGGAAUAUGAAGAAGCUGAACAGAAAGAGACAUGAUCAGAAGACUGUUGCAAAAGCAGUUCUGUUUUUCUAGUUUGCAUUUCCUAUUAAAAGGAUAUGGGGAUCUUGGAAUCAAGAAUUCCUUAAAGUGGUUUUUCACCCUAAUUUAGAUACUUGAAAAUAAUACUUAAACAGCACUUUGCAAACAGCCAUCCUAAAGUAUCAAUGCUUGUGCAGUCAUAAAGAUGAGUGUGUGAACAUGUCACUUCAGGCGUCAAGGACUGCAAGCAACUUUAUUUUCUCCAACACCAGUCCUGCACUGCCUUCCUCUUUCCUCCUAUUGGACCCCAUCCCCUCCUGUCAUUCAGAGCCAAUCCCUUACCCUCCGUUAGCAUCCACCUGUUCCCAAUCCUCAGGUGCCACCUCUUUCUGCAGAGGACCUGACUCGUUCCCCCCCCCCACCAAUCUCUGAGGCUCAACAUACCAUUUUCGGCAAAGGGCUCAGCUUCAUACUGUUACGCCUCAACCUUAAUGAAUUUCGGGCUCGCCAUGACGUUGAACUAUUUUUCCUCAGUCUUCAUUUUCACUUCAGCAGGAACUCCCCAUCCCACACUCCAACAACCCCAAAGAUACCUUCACCCACUUCCAGUAUUCACCCUCCACUUGAACCCCUUCUUCUGGCCUCUUACCUACCCUCCAUCUUUUCACUGAAAACUGUCGGCGUGACAUCAGCUGAGUCAAUUUCUCUGCUCCUCUCACUCACUAACUUGUCCCCUUCUGAAAUUGCUUUGCUCUGUCACGUUCAACAGGCACUUCUUCAUAUCUCACCCUGGACUAUGACCCCACAUCAAGCCAUUGCUGCCAGGGCUGUCACUGACCUUAUUACCUCUGGAGAUCUCUGCCUGGCACCCCAGCCCUAACUGUCUCCUCUUCACCAUGGAUAUCUAACCACUAUACCUCCAUUCCCCACCAGAAUGGUUUGACAGCUGUGUCAGCUUUAUCCUCGACCAGAGGCCUGCACAAUCCCUAUUUCCCAUCAUUCUCCUCUGCGUGGCUAAAGUUGUUCCCUCACUGAACAAUUUCUCCUUUUAAUUCAUCUCACAUUGCCAUGUCAAAGGAGUGGCUAUGGGCACCCUCAUGUGUCUUAUAUCUGCCUCUUUAUGGGGUAUGUGGAACAAUCUUUGUUCCAGACCUACAUUGCCCCCCCCCCCCCAAUUUUUUUUUGAGUACAUCAACUGUAUCAGAUCAGCUUCAUGCUCCUGUUUUGACAUUGAAAAAUUUGUUAAUUCUGUCUCCAACUUCCACCCCUCUAUAAUUUUUCAUGGGGGGGUUCCAUGUCCAAUACUUCGCUUCUUUUCCUUGACUUCUCCAUUCCGGGUUAUAAACUAUCCUUCUUCCAUAACCUUAGUUUCCUGCCUAAUGUGGUUGACAAGGACAUGGACGAUAUAAUGUCUUGAAACACGCAAGUGGAUAAAUCGCCAGGACCUGAUCAGGUGUACCGUAGAACUCUGGGAAGCUAGGGCAGUGAUUGCUGGGACCUUUGCUGAGAUAUUUGUAUCAUCAAUAGUCACAGAUGAGAUACCAGAAGACUGGAGGUUGGCUAACAUGGUGUCACUAUUUAAGAAAGGUGGUGAGGACAAGCCAGGGAACAAUAGAUCAGUGAGCCUGAUGUCAGUGGUGGGCAAGUUGUUGGAGGGAAUGUGGCUUUGUGCGCAGGAAGUCAUGUUUCUUGAACUUGAUUGAGUUACUGAGUAAAGAGACCUUGGAAUGCAGUUUCAUAGCUCCUUGAAAGUAGUUAUAGGUAGAUAGGAUAGUGAUGAAGGUAUUUGUUAUGCUUUCCUUUAUUGAGUACAGGAGUUGGAGGUCAUGUUGCGGCUGUACAGGACAUUGGUCAGGCCACUUUUGGAAUAUUGCAAGCUAUUCUGAUCUUCCUAUCAGAAGGAUGUUGUGAAACUUGAGAGGGUUCAGAAAAGAUUUACAAGGAUGUUGCCAGGGUUGGAGGAUUUGAGCUACCGGGAGAGGUUGAAUGGGCUGGGAUGUUUUCCCUGGAGCAUCGAAGGCUGAGUGGUGACCUUUACUAAGGUUUAUAAAAUCAUGAGGGGCAUGGAUAGGAUAAAUAGACAAAGUCUUUUCCCUGGAGUGGGGGAGUCCAGAACUAGAGAGCAUAGGUUUAGGGUGGGAGGAGAAAGAUAUAUAAAAGGGACCUAAGGGGCAAGUUCAUGCAGAGGAUGGUAUGUGUAUGGAGUAUGCUGCCAGAGGAAGUGGUGGAGGCUAGUACAAUAACAUCAUUUAAAAGGCAUCUGGACGGGUAUAUGAAUAGGAAGGGUUUGGAGGGAUAUGGGCCAAGUGCUGGCAAAUGGAACUAGAUUAGGUUGAGAUAUCUGGUUGCCAUGGAUGAGUUGGACCGAAGGGUCUGCUUCCAUGUUGUAUAUCCCUAUGACAGAGCAAUCUUGCCUAUGAAUCAUGCUUCUGCCUUGCCCCUUCCUAUCAUACUAGCCAGAUGAAAUUGUCUGAAAUGGUGCAGAAUGCCACCACCAAACACAUGGUCCCUCUGCUCCCCCUGUCUGCACUUUGCAGGGACCUUUUCCCUCCAGGACACCCUUGUCCACUCCCCGUUGGCCAUCAACAGCACCCUCCCUGCCUGUGUAACCGCAGAAGGUGUAACACCUGCUCCUUGCUCACCAUCCAAGGGCCUAAACGGUCUUUCAGGGUGAAGCAGCAUUAUACCUGUACACCUCCAAUCUGGUCUACUGCAUUCACUGCACCCAAUGUGGUCUGCUCUACAUUGAAGAAACCAAAAGCACUUUGUAGAACACCUCUGUUCCAUGUCUUCCUGUAGCCAAUCAUUUUACCAUAACAUCCUGCUCACAUGUCCACUUGUCUGUCCUUGGCAUGCUGCAAUGCUGCAGCAAAUCCCAGUGCAAACUGGGGAAACAACAUCUCAGUUUCCGAAUAGGCACUUUACAACCUUCUGGACUUAAUAUUGGUUCAACACCUCCAGAUUGUGAACACUCCCAUUUCUUCAAGCUUUACUUGCAUUCUCUGUCACCAUGUUCCAAUCCCCACCCUCACUCCAGUGUGACCAUCUGUUCUUUCCAGUUUGGCAGUGAGACAUCAUUGCUCUGCCAUUCUCAUUCCGGUCACUUAAUCUGCACUAUUAACCCCCUUUCUACCCCAGUAUUCCUCCACCACACUAUUGUGUGAAAGCUUCACUCUCCAUAUUUCAUGUCAGCGGUUGAAGAUUCAUCUAGAUGAGAAACAUUUGCUUGUUCCACAGAUGCUGCUUGACACAGAUUUCCAGCAUUUUGUUUUCACUAAAGCAUCUCACCUCCACUUGUUGAAUCUGUCUGCAGUGUGUACCAUUACCUUCUGAUAUAUGCAAAUAUUCUACCAC